AGUGCCCAUGGAUCCAUCUAUCUCGAUCGGAAAAUAAUCAGUAGAAAAAGAAAGAAUCGGAAUUGAUUGAUAUCUUUCUCGAAACAAACGAAAAGGAAAUGAAAGAUAAAACAUAAAUCAUGGAUCAACUAAGCCCUCUCGGGGCUUGCUUAAGAAUAAGAAA